UUUUCAAAAGAAAAAAAAAUAAAUACAUUUUUGUGCUAAAAAAGAAUAAAGUAAAAAAUAAAAAAAAUUCUUUUUAUUUAUAUAAAGAUAAUUUUUUUUUAAAAUAAAUAAAGUUUUAUUUUGGCUUUUUUUAAAUUUUUUUUUAAAAUUUAUAUGUAAUUAAAGCAGUAUAAAAUUUUAUUUAUAAAAAUUGAAAUAGUUUUAAAAUCAAAGGUAGUAAAUUAUGUGCCAGCAGCUGCGGUUAUACAUGAACUUUAAAAUUUAAAUUUAAUGAAAUAAAAUUUUUAUAAAUUAGGUGAAAUUAUUAUUAUAAUAAUAUUUUUAUGUAAAAAUAAGAAAUAAAAAUAGGAUUAGAUACCCUAGUAUUCUUAUACUUAUAAUAUCAUUAAAGAAUAAAUUAAAAGAUUUGACGGUAUUUAGUCUUGCUAGAGGAACUUGUAAAUUAAACGAUAAUCCACGAGUAUUCUACUUAUAUUAUUUUUUAAAUAUCGUUGUAUAAAAUAUUUUUUAAAAAUAUAUUUAAAAUUCAAAUCUAGAUUUAGAAUAUAUAAGUUUUUAUGAGUUACAAUUAUUAAAAUAAUAAUGAAUUUUAUUUUUAAACAAAUAAAUGAAGGAGGAUUUAGAAGUAAAAGUUUAAAGAAUGGGACUUAGAAAAAGGAAUUAAAUAUGUACACAUCGCCCGUCGCUCUCAGAUUGAGACAAGUCGUAACAAAGUAAAUGUAUUGGAAAAUGUAUUUAGU
rnacentral:rRNA from 1 species